GAUCUGCAGCAGAGCAGCAAUCUCUGGAUGCCUGAUUGCAGCUGACAGAAUCAGUGGGGAAUAAAUUGCCAGACAGGCUGAGGCAUUCUGCUUGCUUACCUGGCACUGGAGGACAAAGUGACCUGUGGUGCCAGCCAAGGUGUGUGUGCCCCAGCACAGUGGUGGGAGCAGCGUCUGUGCCCAGCCCUGGGAUGCCCUGUGUCCCAUGUCCUGCUCCGUGCAGAGGCUCUGCACAGGGACCGUCCCAGGGGAUCAGAAGGAGCUCAGCAGGAGGAGGCACCGUCCUGCCCACGGGACUGCAGCACCCUGACAACAGCAGUGAUGGACUCCACAGCGAACUGCAGCACCCUGAGGCGUGGGAGGUGUCGCACACGAUUUGUUCAUCACCCACUUACUGCUGAGGCAGCCGAUCGCCUCUCCCUGGAACGAGAGAGAAGGAC